ACGGGAGGCAGCAGUGGGGAAUAUUGCACAAUGGGGGAAACCCUGAUGCAGCGACGCCGCGUGAGUGAAGAAGUAUUUCGGUACGUAAAGCUCUAUCAGCAGGAAAGAAAAUGACGGUACCUGACUAAGAAGCCCCGGCUAACUACGUGCCAGCAGCCGCGGUAAUACGUAGGGGGCAAGCGUUAUCCGGAUUUACUGGGUGUAAAGGGAGCGUAGACGGUAAGGCAAGUCUGAAGUGAAAUGCCAGGGCUCAACCCUGGAACUGCUUUGGAAACUGUCCUACUAGAGUGCAGGAGAGGUAAGUGGAAUUCCUAGUGUAGCGGUGAAAUGCGUAGAUAUUAGGAGGAACACCAGUGGCGAAGGCGGCUUACUGGACUGUAACUGACGUUGAGGCUCGAAAGCGUGGGGAGCAAACAGGAUUAGAUACCCUGGUA
rnacentral:rRNA from 1 species